UACGGAGGGGGCUAGCGUUGUUCGGAAUUACUGGGCGUAAAGCGCGCGUAGGCGGAUCUGCAAGUCGGGGGUGAAAUCCCGAGGCUCAACCUCGGAACUGCCUUCGAUACUGCGGGUCUCGAGUCCGGGAGAGGUGAGUGGAAUUCCUAGUGUAGAGGUGAAAUUCGUAGAUAUUCGCAAGAACACCAGUGGCGAAGGCGGCUCACUGGCUCGGUACUGACGCUGAGGUGCGAAAGCGUGGGGAGCAAACAGG
rnacentral:rRNA from 1 species